GUAGCGGGUCUGAGAGGAUGAUCCGCCACACUGGGACUGAGACACGGCCCAGACUCCUACGGGAGGCAGCAGUGGGGAAUAUUGGACAAUGGGCGAAAGCCUGAUCCAGCCAUGCCGCGUGUGUGAAGAAGGCCUUUUGGUUGUAAAGCACUUUAAGCGAGGAGGAGGCUACUUGGAUUAAUACUCUAGGAUAGUGGACGUUACUCGCAGAAUAAGCACCGGCUAACUCUGUGCCAGCAGCCGCGGUAAUACAGAGGGUGCGAGCGUUAAUCGGAUUUACUGGGCGUAAAGCGUGCGUAGGCGGCUUUUUAAGUCGGAUGUGAAAUCCCUGAGCUUAACUUAGGAAUUGCAUUCGAUACUGGGAAGCUAGAGUAUGGGAGAGGAUGGUAGAAUUCCAGGUGUAGCGGUGAAAUGCGUAGAGAUCUGGAGGAAUACCGAUGGCGAAGGCAGCCAUCUGGCCUAAUACUGACGCUGAGGUACGAAAGCAUGGGGAGCAAACAGGAUUAGAUA
rnacentral:rRNA from 1 species